ACAGGAGCGGGAUGUGACGGAGCGCGAAUGCAACGCACCUUCAGCAGGUUAAGAUACACUCCACCUCCGCCUCCACACUACAAUCAAUAACGAUCCCAGCUGAGUCUCGUGCUUUCAGAGUGCAGAAUGAAAAGAAGCUGAGAGUCUGAGAGGGGGAAGGUGGAAAGAUGUUUCCUAUUGAAGAAUAAUCCUCAAAGCCCUCUCUGGCACAACGCUGCAAUCUCAUUUAUUCCUGGGAUGAAAAGGAAAAACCCCUCACCCAGUGAGCAUCCUGGAAAGCUCGGGAUAUGCUCCCCCUCUUGUUUCUGGUCUUUGAAGUGUUCACUUCCUGUCGACAGUGUACAGCGGAUGGAAGAGGCUCAGAUACAAUAUGAGACAAUGUCAAAACGUGGGUCAAUGGACUCUUUCAUUCAGUGUAUAACAACAUUAACAUACAGUCAGCUUUUUUACAUGUCUGUGAUGAUGCAUCCCAAAGAAAGUGCCCCUCUCUCUUGUACUAGUUCGGGUCUGCUCACCUUAUAGGACAGUCAUCAGUAGCGACAAGCUGCGUCCUUUGCCUCCCUCAACCUCCCUCCACCACAGAUCUAUCCAUGGAUAGAAAGGGUCCAAAAACCCUGAACUAUCCCACCAGGCCCAAUAACCACCUUGACCUUGACAAGAUGCGUUUACUCAGAGUUGUUGGUGUUUUCCUGCAUACCCAGUUGUGUGUUGGGUGCUAAACUUUCUGCGUCUGUCAGAAUUAAGUAACUACACAAAAUAUUUUGUGUUUAGCUUAUUUUUUUGGCAAAUUAUAUAGUGUGAGUAACAUGUGAUUAGCACGCUAGUGAACUAGCUAAUUUGACAACUUUAGACAACUGAAUUUCUGUGUUGAUAUGUUAGCAACUGAUGUGUUCUUACCUUUUAAUUCUCUUUGCUGUCGUGAUUCUAUGAACAUCUAUUGAUUUAUCAGAUAGCUUGAUUUAAAUUAUUUGAUUUAUGCAGCAAGCUAACCAUGCUAACAAAGGUCAGCUAAGUGAGAAGUAUUAAAUAUGGAGAGAAAUGUUUCAUUUCUGUUUUAUUGUUUAUUUCAGACCACACACACAUCUUGUAAGCACCCAUUCCCACUUACUUUCACUUCUGCCCAGUUGUAAUUUCAGCACAUCGAAAUUAAAGGAGGCUAACUCAAAGAGAAA